UGAGGAAUAUUGGUCAAUGGGCGCAAGCCUGAACCAGCCAAGUAGCGUGAGGGAUGACUGCCCUACGGGUUGUAAACCUCUUUUGUUUGGGAAUAAAGUGCGGGACGCGUCCCGCAUUGCAUGUACCAUUUGAAUAAGGACCGGCUAAUUCCGUGCCAGCAGCCGCGGUAAUACGGAAGGUCCGGGCGUUAUCCGGAUUUAUUGGGUUUAAAGGGAGCGCAGGCCGUGGGUUAAGCGUGUCGUGAAAUUCCGCCGCUCAACGGCGGACGUGCGGCGCGAACUGGUCCACUUGAGUACGCGGGACGUUGGCGGAAUUCGUGGUGUAGCGGUGAAA
rnacentral:rRNA from 1 species